GCAGAUUGUGAUCAAAGGGCGCCAGAUAUAUAGCAAAGAUUGGCAGAUUUUGUCCAAAGGGGGCAUGAUAUAUAUCAAAGAUGUGUAGUUUUUGUCCAAAGGGGGACUGAUAUAUAUAUAUCAAAGAUGGGCAGAUUUUGUCCAAAGGGGACAGAUAUUUAGAAAAGAUGGGCAGAUUUUGUCCAAAGGGGGCACAAUAUAUAGCAAAGAUGUGGAGAUUUUGCCCAAGGGGGACUGAUGAAUAUAUAUCAAAGAUGGACAGAUUUUGUCAAAGGGGGACAGAUAUAUAUCAAAGAUGUAUAAUUUGUCCACAGGGAGAUAGAUAUAUAUAGCAAAUAUGGGAAAUUUUUCCAGAGGGGCUAGAGUAUAUAGAGAUGUAAAAUAAUUUUUUUUCUAAUUUGAACAUAUUAUAUGAAGGACUUGUAUGUGUGAUGGGGACGCUGAAGUGUGAUGGCCAUGCUGAAGUGCAUUGGUCUUUGCUAAAGUGUGAUGGUCUUUUUACUGAUGGUCUAUAUGACACGUUUAUUGGCUAUGUUUAAAUUCUACAGAUGUGCAAUUUUUUUGAGAAGCAUACAUAAAUUUGCAUUCAUUAUUGUCCAUAAAACAUUUAUGGUAUUUUGGUAUGGUUGUAAGGUUGAAAUAAAAGAAUCGUUCCUGCAAUAUGCCUGUUCACUAUACAAAUUAGGAUUACUAGUAUGUGAUAAUCGUAUACUGUUUAAAUAUUAUCGUAAGUUCCCUGUUAAUAUCAUAGUUUCAUGUACAUCUCUUUAAAAGGUGUUUGUAACAUUUUAGAAAUACAGGAAUAUAUUUCAUAUUAUGUUUGUCCUUAGUAACAGUAUCAUGCUAAAUGAGAGAUCGUCCUAUUCAAUUUUACUGCAUACAUGUACUCUCGAUGAUUUAUCAUAAAACAUGAAAGCUGCUUCUAUCAAAAAAUCGACUUCUUCAUCGACAUGGGAACAUAAAAAUCAUUUAAGGUAUAUAAUUUAUGUAAUCCAUCGCACUUUAGCAUCACCACCAACACACUCCAGCGUAGCUAUCAACAAGAUAGCAUCACAAUGCCACCAUUGCACUUCAGCGUGAUCAAAAACAAACUUCAGCGUCAAACCAUCGCACUUCAGUGUGACCAUCACGGUUCAGAGUCCUACAUUUAUAAAAAAAGAUGAGGAGAUAUUUAGUAUUUUAUCAUUAAUCUGACAUUAAAAAGAGGACUGAUCUAUAUAUAAGGGGAAAUUUAUAGCAAAGAUGAGAAGAUUUUGUCUGGGGGAUAGUUAUACUUCAACACUAAGGAGAUAUUUUGUAUUUUAUUAUUGUUUUAACAUUGAAAAGCGUUUGUUUAUAGGGAAACAGAUUUAUAGCAAAGAUGUGGAGAUUUUUCUUUAGGGUGAUAAGUAAGAGUGGAGUUUGGCUAUGAGGGUGCAUAUAUAUUAAAUUGCUGAGAAGAUAUGAAGUAUUUCAUCAAUAUUCUUUAACUAAGAAAUGGGAUUGUCUACAGGGUUACAACAGAUGUGUUACAACAUGAUGAUAUUUAGUAUUUUAUUUUUAUCUUUGUUUUAAAUAGGAAAGGAUUUGUUAUGUUCUCUAUUUUAUUAAGCAUGUAUUAUAUAGUGCUAAGAUGUCUGCUCUUCAAUCCAUCAAUAUUCUCACUACAGAACAAACUUGUAUCUGCUUAUCCUCCUAAACCCCUAAUCUGAAUUGAAUGAAAUGUUUCAGAAUCUUAACCAUAUAUUAUAUAUUUAUUUUAUGAACUUUGCUCAAAGUUAUUUAUUAAUAACCCCUUAUUGUCCCCUGCGCAAUGCGUUGCGGGGGACAUAGAAUUACCAGGCGUCCGGUCUUGUUAGCACUCUCACAUGUACAAUUCUUGCCAGAUUUUUAUGAAACUUGUAUCAUAGGUUCAUAUCAGCAAUGUCUUGGACAAGUUCAAAAAUCAGUGCCGAUCAAUUAUUUUUAAAAGAGUUAUGCCCCUUGGAAACAUUAAUUAUAUGGAAAAUUGCAUCGUUAGUGCUCUUAUUUGUACAAUUCUUGCCAGAUUUUUAUGAAACUUAUAUCAUAGGUUUAUAUCAGCAAUGUCUUGUACGAGUUCGAAAAUCAGUUCUGAUUAUUUAUUUUUAAAAGAGUUAUGGCUCUUGGAAAUAUUAAUUAUAUGUAAAAUUGCCUUGUGAGCACUUUGAUGUGUACAUUUCUUGCCAGUUUUUUAUAAAUUUUAUAUUAUAGGUUUAUAUCAUCAACUUUGAUGAGUUAGAAAAUCAGUACUGAUCAAUUAUUUUUAAAAGAGUUAUGCCCUUGGAAAUAGUGAUUAUAUGGAAAAUUGCAUUGUUAGCGCUCUCAUGUAUACAAUUCUUGGAAAUAUUAUUUAUAAUGGAAAUCACAUUGCAUUUGCUCUCAAGCCUUCAUUUCUCUAAGGCAUUUAUAAAAAGUUUUAAAGAAAAAGAAAAAAAUUUUUU